GAGCCAUUCCAGUGCUUUCCUGAGCAGCCAUUUAAAUCCCAAUUUUAGAGUGCCAAUGAUCAAUGAUUUAAACCCCAAGGCUGAUACUUAGUUCCAAUCCCGAGGAUCUGUAUCAUUCAUUUGUAAUUGAAUAUUGCAAUAAGUAUUUAUGCAAGAUUGUCGAUGGAAAUUCAUAUUACAUUUUUCUGAGAUAAUCAGUUCUGUUCAGGUAUGUGGCCUUUUAAGUGUAUGAUGUCAUACCAUAGUUUAAAUACACUUUCUGAUUUUAUAUUCCUAAUAAA